rnacentral:tRNA from 1 species
GCCUGGGUGGCUCAGUCGGUUAAGCGUCCGACUUCAGCUCAGGUCAUGAUAUCACGGAUCGUGGGUUCGAGCCCCACAUCGGGCU